CCUACGGGCGGCUGCAGUGGGGAAUAUUGGACAAUGGGCGAAAGCCUGAUCCAGCCAUGCCGCGUGUGUGAAGAAGGCCUUAGGGUUGUAAAGCACUUUCAGUGGGGAAGAAAGCCUUGGGGCUAAUACCCUCGAGGAAGGACAUCACCCACAGAAGAAGCACCGGCUAACUCCGUGCCAGCAGCCGCGGUAAUACGGAGGGUGCGAGCGUUAAUCGGAAUUACUGGGCGUAAAGCGCGCGUAGGCGGUCUGAUAAGCCGGUUGUGAAAGCCCCGGGCUCAACCUGGGAACGGCAUCCGGAACUGUCAGGCUAGAGUGCAGGAGAGGAAGGUAGAAUUCCCGGUGUAGCGGUGAAAUGCGUAGAGAUCGGGAGGAAUACCAGUGGCGAAGGCGGCCUUCUGGACUGACACUGACGCUGGGGUGCGAAAGCGUGGGUAGCAAACAGGAUUAGAUACCCCGGUAGUC
rnacentral:rRNA from 1 species